GAUGAAGAACGUAGCGAAAUGCGAUAAGUAAUAUGAAUUGCAGAUUUUCGUGAAUCAUCGAAUCUUUGAACGCACAUUGCGCCCGCCAGCACUCUGGCGGGCAUGCCUGUUCGAGCGUCAUUUCGACCAUCAGGCCCUCCGGGCUUGUGUUGGGGCUCCCUGCGGCUGUCCGCAGGCCCUGAAAACCAGUGGCGGGCUUGCAAAGUCACACCGAGCGCAGUAGAUUUUUUUCAUCUCGCUCAGGGCGUGCGUGCGGGCGCCGGCCGUAAAAGACGAGAGCGCGGCCUCGGCCGCCCACAAAUACCACAAGGUUGACCUCGGAUCAGGUAGGAAUACCCGCUGAACUUAAGCAUAUCAAUAAGCGGAGGA
rnacentral:misc_RNA from 1 species